UACAGGGGGUGCAAACGUUGCUCGGAAUCAUUGGGCGUAAAGCGCACGUAGGCGGUUCGUUAUGUCGGAUGUGAAAGCCCUUGGCUUAACCGAGGAAGUGCAUCCGAAACUGGCGAGCUAGAGUACGAAAGAGGAUCGCGGAAUUCCCCGGUGUAGAGGUGAAAAUUCGUAGAUAUCGGGGAGGAACACCGGUGGCGAAGGCGGCGAUCUGGGUCGAUACUGACGCUGAGGUGCGAAAGCGUGGGGGAGCAAACAGG
rnacentral:rRNA from 1 species